rnacentral:rRNA from 1 species
GAUGAACGCUGGCGGCGUGCCUAAUACAUGCAAGUAGAACGCUGAAGGAAGGAGCUUGCUCUUUCCGGAUGAGUUGCGAACGGGUGAGUAACGCGUAGGUAACCUGCCUGGUAGCGGGGGAUAACUACUGGAAACGAUAGCUAAUACCGCAUAACAGUAGAUAUUGCAUGAUAUCUGCUUGAAAGGGGCAAUUGCUCCACUACCAGAUGGACCUGCGUUGUAUUAGCUAGUUGGUGAGGUAACGGCUCACCAAGGCGACGAUACAUAGCCGACCUGAGAGGGUGAUCGGCCACACUGGGACUGAGACACGGCCCAGACUCCUACGGGAGGCAGCAGUAGGGAAUCUUCGGCAAUGGACGGAAGUCUGACCGAGCAACGCCGCGUGAGUGAAGAAGGUUUUCGGAUCGUAAAGCUCUGUUGUAAGAGAAGAACGAGUGUGAGAGUGGAAAGUUCACA